ACACAUGCAAGUCGAGGGGCAGCAUCAUCAAAGCUUGCUUUGAUGGAUGGCGACCGGCGCACGGGUGAGUAACACGUAUCCAACCUGCCGACAACACUGGGAUAGCCUUUCGAAAGAAAGAUUAAUACCGGAUGGUAUAGUUUUCCCGCAUGGGAUGAUUAUUAAAGAAUUUCGGUUGUCGAUGGGGAUGCGUUCCAUUAGGCAGUUGGCGGGGUAACGGCCCACCAAACCUACGAUGGAUAGGGGUUCUGAGAGGAAGGUCCCCCACAUUGGAACUGAGACACGGUCCAAACUCCUACGGGAGGCAGCAGUGAGGAAUAUUGGUCAAUGGACGAGAGUCUGAACCAGCCAAGUAGCGUGAAGGAUGACUGCCCUAUGGGUUGUAAACUUCUUUUAUACGGGAAUAAAGUGAGCCACGUGUGGCUUUUUGUAUGUACCGUAUGAAUAAGGAUCGGCUAACUCCGUGCCAGCAGCCGCGGUAAUACGGAGGAUCCGAGCGUUAUCCGGAUUUAUUGGGUUUAAAGGGAGCGUAGGCGGGUUGUUAAGUCAGUUGUGAAAGUUUGCGGCUCAACCGUAAAAUUGCAGUUGAUACUGGCGACCUUGAGUGCAACAGAGGUAGGCGGAAUUCGUGGUGUAGCGGUGAAAUGCUUAGAUAUCACGAAGAACUCCGAUUGCGAAGGCAGCUUACUGGAUUGUAACUGACGCUGAUGCUCGAAAGUGUGGGUAUCAAACAGGAUUAGAUACCCUGGUAGUCCACACAGUAAACGAUGAAUACUCGCUGUUGGCGAUAUACAGUCAGCGGCCAAGCGAAAGCAUUAAGUAUUCCACCUGGGGAGUACGCCGGCAACGGUGAAACUCAAAGGAAUUGACGGGGG
rnacentral:rRNA from 1 species